CAAACACUUUUUCUUUUAAAUUUUGUGAGCAAAAUUAAUUCUGCCCUUAAUUAUCAUCACUGAGAAACAUGAAGUUGAGCCUAAAUAGUGUAAAUUUAGUUCAUUUAUCCAAAAUUAAACUCAAAUUUGCUGGCAGGGUGUUGACGUGUGACCAUCACCCUUUAGUGUUUUUGAAUUGUCAAAAAUGACACCUCUGUAUACUUUGUGCGUUCGGUCUCCCCUUCAAGGAAAAUAAGUUGGAACAGAUGAAACAACCAAUGGAUGUACCUUUCCAAAAAUUUAUUUUAAUGACAAAUCUUGCCUUGGUAAUGGUUUAUACCAAUGUAAAAAAGUAUGACAUGUCAUACAUUUUAACAAAGAUGUCUUUCAGCAUUGUUUGGUGCGAUUCGCAGCAAAGGUGUACAGAACGAUCAUCCCUCACCACAAGACUUCAAGUUUAGAUUAAGAAAAUACAGAAGCACGAAAUACCGAAUACCUAAAUGGUACCGAAAACGAUAACACUGAAUGGUUCAAUUCUACAAAUUUUACAAUUACAAGUUUGCCAAAAGUUGUUGAAGUAUCGGAAGAAAUCCAUCUUGAUUGCCAAGCUCCGAUAUCGACACAUACCCCGAUGGAAGAACACUUUUUAGUCCUAGACGAAACGGAUUUAGAUGACAUUUUUAUUCUUCAAGAGUGUGCUCUAGAAUAUAUAUCUGGAUCUGCGAAGUAUCGAAAGGUUCAUUAAAAAAACCAUCAAACUGUUUCCUUCAAAAAAUAAAAAGUUUAGAAGUAUGUCAAUGGAAGAGAAAUAUAGCACAGAACAAACAUCCGUCAACACUUACUUAAUGAAAGUUCAUCUGUAGACCUACCUGAACGCAUUAAGCAGCUCAAUGCAGAGAAAUAUAGCACAGAACAAACCCCCGUCAAGAUUUACUUAAUGAAAGUUCAACUGUAGACCUACCUGUACGCAUUAAGCAGUUCUUUUUCAGAUGCCGAAUAUUUGUUCGGCUACGGAAUUUAAAUAAGGACCAAAAACAAGCGUUAAUCGGCUCUUUAACCAGCAUUCGCAUCAACAGCCUUCCGUACGAGACUAAGUCCGAUCUCUCUAAUAGCUCUAAGACUUUAGACCAGCGUUGCGCGUACAUAUUGUUCAAAUUACAAAGAUUUUUGGCAAUUCACACGUACACUACCCGAUCGAAAACAAAACUCACAGCAAGAGCGUAAAAAUACAAAAAAUUAUCUUCAGUUGCCUAACAGCAUUCAACAAUGUAGGUUGACGUCGCUUUGUUUCAAAAAUUGCAAAAACAAUUUGUAAAAACAACAACACAUUUUGUAAACAAGAGAAUUACUUGCAAAAACUCGUAGACUCCAAAAAAUUUCACUAAUGCAUAAGAAUGUAAACACAUAAAAACAGUAUUUUAAAUACUUUUUUACACAUUUUAAAUAAAAAACCUUAUCUUUGUGAAGAGAUA